UUGUUUUUUCACCAUAUAUUAUUGGAAAAAAUACUGAACAUCCAUGCCUUCAUGGCCCCCCUCUAGUUUGGUGCAUAAAUCAGAGGUACAAAGAGAUACUAAACAUUACAUAACAAGAUAUUUGAUUUCUUUAAAAAAUCAUGCAUAAAGAAACCGUGACCAUGUCUCAAAAAAAUAGUACAAGAACAUUAAACCUUGACAGAAGGAGAUCUAACACUAAAAAGUGAAUGAGCUACCAGAGGCUGAAGGACAUUGGUCAGGAGUUAGGACACAGCGAGGCGCAACAGUGAUCACUCGACCUUGGGUACUAUAGGGACUUCAGGCCUGAAGGACAUUGGUCAUAAGUCAAGACCAUCGGCGUGAAUCUCAUCGGUGUGCAGGGAAGCAUCUAGAGAUGAAGGUCGUUCGUGCCGCCGCCUGGUGGAUUGCUAUAGUUGGAGGAGGGGGGCUCGCCACCGUCUCCUCCUGGCUGUUGUGCCGCCAUUGUCACCUUAUGAUUGGACACGGUGGAUCGAGUUACAUCUAGAAGAAACAAAAUGAAUGUCAUAAUUAGUAAAGAAUUUUCAGCGACAAAAGGAUAAACAAGAAUUGGAAUGUUAAAACAAAACCUGCACCUACACAAGUACUGUAUAUUUUAUAUUAGCACAAGUGCAGAUCAUGUCCCAGUCUUCACUUUGUUUACAAAAAAGUUCAGAAUAGCAAUCUUGGCGAGCCCUAUAAGGAAGCAUUCCAUGAUCUCGGCCGGGUUCCAUCCGCGUGGCGCGCUGCUGAUUGUGUGGUGCUGAUAUUGAACUUAUAAUAAAAUUGAGUUCUAGAAACAAUUCCUACAUUGUCUCAUUAGUAAUCACACCAAGAAUACUUAUCCUCCUAUAGAUCUGACUUGCCUCUGUGUUUUGGUGUGCAGAAAUUGGUUACAGGUAGGAAAUAAUAUAACUAAUCGGUAUCUUGAGUUGCAAAGAGAUCACUCAGAACGGUGCCUGAUAUUAUGCCAUAAAGAACUCACAUUUUUUAUUGUCCCUCUAGAUAUGUACGCACCUUUCUCUGUUGGAUGCAUGCACAAUUCUGAAUUAAGAACAAAUGACAUGUUGAUUAGCUAUCUUACAAAUGCUUUUCCGAGGGAAGUCGAUUAUGCAUAAAAAGGCACUUCUGUGAUGCUGUAUAAAUUAUGUCAUGGGCGGGAAAGCAAUUUUUGACCCCGUGAUUUCUCUGUACAUUAGGCAAUGCCGUGAAGUAACUUUUUUACGAAGAGGGGAGCCCAUCAAUUUCCCACUGGAUUUUCUGGUGUCCCGUUUUAUAAUAAGUUCUUUGCUGGAAAAAACAUACAUAUAAUUAGUUACUCUAUUUGUCCCGACGUCGUGGACUAUGUCUAUAGUUUAAUUUAAUUUGUAAAUGAAACCGAACGGCGAUUUCUAUUUUCUACAGAUAAAACAUGGUGGUUUUAGACCAACAUAAAUAUGUAUACCUUUAUUUAGGUUUCAGUUCGAAGGUCUCAAUGCUCCAAUUUCUCAUUUUGAAACCUGAAACUGAAAGGAAUUUAACAAAUCAACAUAGCCUCGUGGAGCCUUGAUCUUAGUUGCAUUAAACCAAUCAGAGUAAGAAUGUAGUUCUGUAUCCUAGCUGUGUACAUCUUCUCUAAAAGUAAUAAUAAAGGCUACCGUGUUCAUUCAAGAAUAAAAAAUCCCAUGUCAGGAUAAUCUUUCAGUACAAAAGCUUGGUGCAUUUCCUUUAGACACACUAAAAACCGAC
rnacentral:lncRNA from 1 species